rnacentral:rRNA from 1 species
UACGUAGGGAGCAAGCGUUGUCCGGAAUCAUUGGGCGUAAAGCGCGCGUAGGCGGCCCGGUCAGUCCGUCGUGAAAGUCAAAGGCUCAACCUUUGAAUGUCGAUGGAUACUGCCGGGCUAGAGUCCGGAAGAGGCGAGUGGAAUUCCUGGUGUAGCGGUGGAAUGCGCAGAUAUCAGGAGGAACACCAAUAGCGAAGGCAGCUCGCUGGGACGGUACUGACGCUGAGACGCGAAAGCGUGGGGAGCGAACAGG